GGGAGGCAGGCAACACCAGCCCUCAGGCUACACUCUCCAUUUGGAGCAGAGCUUCUUCGGCAGCCCCAGGUCUCCCGGGAUCUUCCUCGGUGUCCUGCGGAGGCUCUGGCUCCAGCGUGGGCUCCAGCGCAGGCUGGGCUUCCGGCUGGGCUUCAGCGCUCCGGCCAGGCCCAAGGCGAGGCGGCUUGACCGGGGUGGGCGGUGGCGCUGCAGGGCCUUUCCGGCCCGAAAGGGCCCUUCGGAGGCUCUGUACCUUCUGCAAUCCGGUGCGCCGCAGCCGCUGGGCCCUGGACUCCACCGGCUCCUCGUCCGAGCUCUCUCCAACUUCGGCCUCCAGCUGCUCUGGGCCCAGCUCGGACUGGUCCGCCGGGCCCAAGGGCUCUGGUGCCUUCUGGAAAGCGCUGGCUGGGACUUCACCCUCCUCCUGCAUGUGACGGACACAGCACUGAUCCUGGCAGCUCCUUACCCCCAGCAGCCCGAAACUCACUCCUUAAUUACACAAGGGAAACCUUUUACCUCCGCAGCCAGAGUCUGGGGGGAAAGGCAGGCGUGGGAAGAUGGGUUCUCUACCUGGCCAGUGCCAUGUUGCCUGUUUCUUUACUGUAACUGUGGUGACAAAGAAAAGGGAAGAUGGAGCCUCCAUGUUGAACAUACCUGGCCCCCAGCACUAACUCCCUCUCUGGAUAUCUGGAACAAGGAGGACCUUAAACUUAACAAUAAAGCCAAUGAUGGUUCUACCAGUCUCCCCAAAGCCUCAAGUUUAAAAGCCAUAUGAACUGGCUGAUAGUGGAAAAUGGAAGCCAUGAGGAAAUCAGAUUAGAGUACUACCUGGUGAAGCCUGGAGGACCUACCAAGAAAAGCAAACUUGGAUCUUUGCAAGGUUAGAAGAACGAAUGGGAUCCAAGAAAAAGACUGGUCAUAUUCAACGGCUAAGAGCGUUGGAGAAGGCCUGUGGAGUCUCAGCAGGUCAGGUCCAUGACUCAUGAGUAGACACCUGUGUUUCUACUGCCUGGUGCCAUAAUCAUAAACAAGGAAGAAACUGAGGACAGGAGGGGCCAAACAAGUUACAGUUUCAUCCCUCCAGAGAGCCAACAGAGUAUUUUGCACGAAGUUGAAGCUAAACAGAGUAAUCAGCAAAUGCCUUUCCUUUCUCCUGCUGAUGUUUUGCCCGUACUCAGACCCCUUGACUUCUUAGCUUCUACCCAAAGUGAGCUUGUCAUCAAAGUUCUCCAAAAAUCUGCAGUGUUCUCUUGAGCAAAUCUGCUUCCAAGACUAUAGCGCUCUGAUGCAUUGAGAUGACAGCAAGCGGCAUUUUUCAGUCCUGUUACCCAUAUGGCUGCUACCACUGCAUCCUGUUAAAUAAUGUCUUCAACCCAAGAAACCUGCUUCCUAGGGAAGUUUCUCUCUCUCUGCAUUUGUUCCCACUAGAGAAUGACCAUCACCAGAUUCCUGAACUGAAAAUGCUGUUGACACUUUGGAAACUCGGGCCUCUAUUAAUAGGGUGACCAACUAUCCUGGUUUACCUUGAGUACAGGAUUUUCAAUGCUAAAACCAGAAAAACCAGGAUGGUUGGUCAUCUGCCUCAGACCUAAUAAAUACCAGUCAAUAAUUCAGCCAUGAGCUUUCUUAAGACACUGUCUUUUCUUGACUGUUGAAUAGUCUAGGACUUGAGUAGCAGCUCUUUCUGCUACUGGACACUUGUUUUACUACCCUAUUUCUCUAGAUUUUAUUUUGUGGCUAAUAAUUAAGACAUAAAAUCAUGGGUUCUGGUUAUGCCAAAGCACUCACUCUUCAAAAGUUUCCAUCCAGAGUUGGAUAAUCCCACACAGAAGGUGUUCUUUCAACAGACCAGCAUCCAAUAGACCCAAUGCAGCAUUUUUCUUCCUGGUUCCACAUUAAUACAUCCUAUCUCUGCUAUGCUUAGGUCCCUGAUUUAUAAAUAUUUCAGACAUAUUUUCUCAGGACACAGGGAGUACUUAAACUUCCACAUAGCAGAGAUACGACAUACAAUAAGCUGUUAUCUGGAAACUCCUAGUGAUGCUUUGAGUACUUUACAGUAAUCUUUCUGGUCUUCCUCUCAACCCCAUUAAGUUUUUCUGUAACUAGCUGGUGUAUCUGUCUCCAUCUUUAAGGAAUAAGUCCCUAUUUGCUCAUGCUAUAAUCUCCCUCAUGCUCUCCGUCCCUCCUUCCCUCUCCUUCUCUCUUUCUGUCUCUCUCUCUCUCCACCCUGAUUGUGAGAUGCUACACCUUAAUAGUUUUCUAUACCUAGAUCCCUUUUGAAGGAGUAAUUUCAGCCAUCACUGAAAUCUAUGCUUUUUUAUCUUGUUAGAUUUAUUUAGGACCUAAUGACUGUUUCUGAGCUAAUAAUAACGCAAUCAGCUCAUAUUUUUCUGAUACUCUAAGAGCAAUUACAUCUAGUUGCAUCACCUUUUCCUUUUUUAUUCAUGUAUCUUAGGCUUCUCAAGAUAUGAGACUAGCACUUGAGCCUGAGAUAAGCCUUAAGAAUUCCAGGAUAGUCUCUCCAUAGUUCCCUUUCUUGGAUAAAGUCAUUUCAAAACAUCUUAGUGGAUCAGAUUUGGAGCAGCCUACUUACACUGGUGAAUACCACAACUAAUAAAUAAUUGUUCUGCACCCCACCCACAUCUAAAGGAUUCAGGGUGUCUUUUACAGAUAUAGGACUCUCCUUUCUCUGUUUCUCUUCUCUCUCUUCUCCUUGAUUAAAGCUUUGCUUCAGCUGUCCCUGCUCACUACGGCACUGCACCUCACCAGCAUCUUCAUGGCCCUCACAUGGCUCAUGUGCAUAUCCUAACUCUGAUACUAAGGGAGGAGACCACCCCUCAUAUUGUCUUAUGCCCAAUUUCUGCCUCCAAAGAAAGAAGAAGUAAAAACUAAAAGGCAGAAAUGAAAUCCACAAGCAGACAGCCCGGCGCCACACCCUGGGCCUGGUAGUUAAAGAUCGACCCCUGACCUAAUCGGUUAUUUGCAUAAGAAAAGCACUGUGAAGAUCCCUGUCCUGUUCUGUUCCAUUCUAAUUACCGGUGUAUGCAGCCCCCAGUCAUGUACCCCUGCUUGCUCAAUCGAUCACGACCCUCUCACGUGGACCCCCUUAGAGUUGUGGGCCCUUAAAAGGGACAGGAAUUGCUCACUCGGGGAGCUUGGUUGUUGGAGAUGUGAGUCUUGCUAAAGCUCCCAGCCGAAUAAAGCCCUUCCUUCUUAA
rnacentral:lncRNA from 1 species